UAUGUAGGUGGCAAGCGUUAAUCGGAAUUACUGGGCGUAAAGCGUGCGCAGGCGGUUCGUUGUGUCGGCGGUGAAAGCCCCGGGCUUAACCUGGGAAUGGCCGUUGAAACUGGCGAACUGGAGUGUGGCAGAGGGGGGUGGAAUUCCGCGUGUAGCAGUGAAAUGCGUAGAGAUGCGGAGGAACACCGAUGGCGAAGGCAGCCCCCUGGGCUGACACUGACGCUCAGGCACGAAAGCGUGGGGAGCAAACAGG
rnacentral:rRNA from 1 species